rnacentral:rRNA from 1 species
GUGGGGAAUAUUGGACAAUGGGGGGAACCCUGAUCCAGCCAUGCCGCGUGUGUGAAGAAGGCCUUUUGGUUGUAAAGCACUUUAAGCGAGGAGGAGGCUACCGAGAUUAAUACUCUUGGAUAGUGGACGUUACUCGCAGAAUAAGCACCGGCUAACUCUGUGCCAGCAGCCGCGGUAAUACAGAGGGUGCAAGCGUUAAUCGGAUUUACUGGGCGUAAAGAGCGCGUAGGUGGCCAAUUAAGUCAAAUGUGAAAUCCCCGAGCUUAACUUGGGAAUUGCAUUCGAUACUGGUUGGCUAGAGUAUGGGAGAGGAUGGUAGAAUUCCAGGUGUAGCGGUGAAAUGCGUAGAGAUCUGGAGGAAUACCGAUGGCGAAGGCAGCCAUCUGGCCUAAUACUGACACUGAGGUGCGAAAGCAUGGGGAGCAAACAGGAUUAGAUACCCUGGUAGUCC